GGGUUUUUUAAAGGGGCCUCUGGAUGCAAAUCAUUGGGGUUAGAUCUGCUCUCUUCGCAAGAAGAGGGUUUCCAUACACACCGUGAACUGUGGCUUCGGCCAUCACAAACUGUUAGUAAUGAAUGUAAUAUCAUAACAAAAACAAAACUUUUAACAACGGAUCUCUUGGCUCUCGCAUCGAUGAAGAACGCAGCGAAAUGCGAUAAGUAAUGUGAAUUGCAGAAUUCAGUGAAUCAUCGAAUCUUUGAACGCACCUUGCGCCCUUUGGUAUUCCGAAGGGCAUGCCUGUUUGAGUGUCAUGAAACCUCACCCCACUUGGGUUUUUGCCUGAGCGGUGGUGUAUUGGGUGUUGCCUUGCUAAAGGCUCGCCUUAAAGACAUAAGCACCUUGGAUGUAAUACGUUUCAUCCUUCUGGGUGGCUGAUAACCCCACAUAUUCAUGAUCUGGCCUCAAAUCAGGUAGGGCUACCCGCUGAACUUAAGCAUAUCAAUAAGCGGAGGAAAA
rnacentral:rRNA from 1 species